GGGAGGCAGCAGUGGGGAAUUUUCCGCAAUGGGCGAAAGCCUGACGGAGCAAUACCGCGUGAGGGACGAAGGUCUGUGGAUUGCAAACCUCUUUUGUUAGGGAAGAUAAUGACGGUACCUAACGAAUAAGCAUCGGCUAACUCCGUGCCAGCAGCCGCGGUAAGACGGAGGAUGCAAGCGUUAUCCGGAAUUAUUGGGCGUAAAGCGUACGUAGGCUGUUUCAUAAGUCUGUUGUCAAAGCCCGAGGCUUAACCUUGGAAAGGCAAUGGAAACUGUGGGGCUAGAGAGAGAUAGGGGCAGGAGGAAUUCCAGGUGUAGCGGUGAAAUGCGUAGAUAUCUGGAAGAACACCAGUGGCGAAAGCGUCCUGCUGGAUCUCAACUGACGCUGAAGUACGAAAGCUAGGGGAGCGAAUGGGAUUAGAUACCCUUGUA
rnacentral:rRNA from 1 species